AACCUAGCACACCUGCGGUGUGUACCUGCGGAAGGAUCAUUACUGAGUGUAAAAACUCCCAAACCCACUGUGAACAUACCACUGUUGCUUCGGCGGAUGCGCCCCGGGCGCGCCCUACAAAGGCGUGCCCCGGAUCAAGGCCACCGCCGGGGGACCGAAACUCUUGUUUUCCUAAGGAUUCUCUGAGUGUGAUUAUUAAAUCAAAUCAAAACUUUUAGCAAUGGAUCUCAGAUCGGAAGA
rnacentral:misc_RNA from 1 species